rnacentral:snRNA from 1 species
GCGCUUCGGCGGUGCAUAUACUUAAUUUGGAACGAUACAGAGAAGAUUAGCAUCGCCC